GACGAACGCUGGCGGCGUGCUUAACACAUGCAAGUCGAACGGAAUCCAUGGUGUAGCAAUACACCGGAAGAUUUAGUGGCGAACGGGUGAGGAUCACGUGAGAAACCUGCCCCAGACUUUGGGAUAACAAUUGGAAACGAUUGCUAAUACCGAAUGACGUCGGAGAACCGCAUGGUUCACUGACGAAAGGAAAUCCGGUUUGGGAGGGUCUCGCGGCCUAUCAGCUUGUUGGUGGGGUAAUGGCCUACCAAGGCAACGACGGGUAGCUGGUCUGAGAGGAUGAUCAGCCACACUGGGACUGAGACACGGCCCAGACUCCUACGGGAGGCAGCAGUGGGGAAUCUUGCGCAAUGGGCGAAAGCCUGACGCAGCAACGCCGCGUGCGGGAUGAAGGCCUUCGGGCUGUAAACCGCUUUCAGCAGGAACGAAAAUGACGGUACCUGCAGAAGAAGGAGCGGCCAACUACGUGCCAGCAGCCGCGGUGACACGUAGGCUCCAAGCGUUGUCCGGAUUUAUUGGGCGUAAAGAGCUCGUAGGCGGUUUAGUAAGUCGGGUGUUAAAACUCUGGGCUCAACCCGGAGAGGCCAUCCGAUACUGCUGUGACUUGAGUUCAGGAGGGGAGCGGGGAAUUCCUAGUGUAGCGGUGAAAUGCGCAGAUAUUAGAGGAACACCGGUGGCGAAGCGCCGCUCUGGACUGAAACUGACGCUGAGGAGCGAAAGCAUGGGUAGCAAACAGGAUUAGAUACCUGGUAGUCCAUGCCGUAAACGGUGGGCACUAGGUGUGGGUUCCAACUAACGGGAUCCGCGCCGUCGCUAACGCAUUAAGUGCCCCGCCUGGGGAGUACGGUCGCAAGACUAAAACUCAAAGGAAUUGACGGGGCCCCGCACAAGCAGCGGAGCAUGCGGCUCAAUUCGACGCAACGCGAAGAACCUUACCAAGGCUUGACAUAUAGGGAAAAGUGGCAGAGAUGUCAUGUCCGCAAGGGCCCUAUACAGGUGGUGCAUGGUUGUCGUCAGCUCGUGUCGUGAGAUGUUGGGUUAAGUCCCGCAACGAGCGCAACCCUCGUUCUGUGUUGCCAGCAUUUAGUUGGGGACUCACAGGAGACUGCCGGGGUUAACUCGGAGGAAGGUGAGGAUGACGUCAAAUCAUCAUGCCCCUUAUGUCUUGGGCUGCACGCAUGCUACAAUGGUCGGUACAGAGGGCUGCAAUACCGUAAGGUGGAGCGAAUCCCAAAAAGCCGGUCUCAGUUCGGAUUGAGGUCUGCAACUCGACCUCAUGAAGUUGGAGUUGCUAGUAAUCGUAGAUCAGCAACGCUACGGUGAAUACGUUCCCGGGGCUUGUACACACCGCCCGUCACGUCACGAAAGUCGGUAACACCCAAAGUCAGUGGCCCAACCGCAAGGGGGGAGCUGCCUAAGGUGGGAUCGGUGAUUGGGAUG
rnacentral:rRNA from 1 species